GACGAACGCUGGCGGCGUGCCUAAUACAUGCAAGUAGAACGCUGAAGAGAGGAGCUUGCUCUUCUUGGAUGAGUUGCGAACGGGUGAGUAACGCGUAGGUAACCUGCCUUGUAGCGGGGGAUAACUAUUGGAAACGAUAGCUAAUACCGCAUAACAAUAGGUGACACAUGUCAUUUAUUUGAAAGGGGCAAUUGCUCCACUACAAGAUGGACCUGCGUUGUAUUAGCUAGUAGGUGAGGUAACGGCUCACCUAGGCGACGAUACAUAGCCGACCUGAGAGGGUGAUCGGCCACACUGGGACUGAGACACGGCCCAGACUCCUACGGGAGGCAGCAGUAGGGAAUCUUCGGCAAUGGGGGCAACCCUGACCGAGCAACGCCGCGUGAGUGAAGAAGGUUUUCGGAUCGUAAAGCUCUGUUGUAAGUCAAGAACGAGUGUGAGAGUGGAAAGUUCACACUGUGACGGUAGCCUACCAGAAAGGGACGGCUAACUACGUG
rnacentral:rRNA from 1 species